AUCCAAUUGAAAAAUAUUUUUGUCCCUGUUUGUGGAAUACAAUUUUUCAUGUGUUUCUUGCAUUAAAAAAUGUUUAUUAUUGAAAUUAUUAAUAAUUUGUAAAGCUACUUAAUGAAGAUAAUGAUGAUUACAUCUAUCAACAAGAUGGAAAUCUGAUUCAUUAUUAUACUGAAUUAUUAUACUUAUUACUAUCUGAUACUUAUUAUUAUAUGAAAGUACCUCAACAAAAACUUACUACAAGAGUCAGACAAGAUACACAGGUAAACAUGAUGAUGCAUUAAUGUAGUGGCCACCCUGGUAAAUGGAUUUAACAUCAUGUGACUUUUUCUUGAGAUUUGUGAAGGACACUAUCUCUGUGCCCCCAUUUUCUGCUAAUGUCAUGUAAUUUUGCAAUAGUAUCACUGCUCUGUGAUACUGAUCAGCUGCGAUAUAUACUCAUGUGCAUGUGGGACAAAAUGGAUUAUUGGCUUAAUGUCUGUUGCAUCAGCAGAGGUGGACACAUUAACCCAAUUUCCACAGUCUCUAUUCACCUUGCCAAUAUGAGAAUGUCAAACAGAUACAUGUUAAGCCUAACAGAUGUUUGAAUAAAUUUAAACACUUAUA
rnacentral:lncRNA from 1 species